CACUACAUGUCCUCCAGCUCGCCUGACAAACUGAAGAGAGACAUUUUUCCUCCUCUAGGUCACAGGAAGGCGAGCGUGUUUAUUGUCCUCCAGCUCGCCUGAAGAACUGAACGAUUCUUUUCCGCAAAGAGAGUUUUUUGGGCUUUUGGACCACUCUUAUCUCCUCCAGGCUGCUUUUGAUUUCGCUCAUGGCCUGGAGAAGAUGGCCCUUUUCUUUUUGCCACUGGAGCUGUUGACCGUUGGAUUGAGUCAAUGACUCGGUCAGCGCAGCCUGCAGCUGAUUGCUCGUCUCUCUUUGAUCACAAAGAAGCUGGCCGGCCACUGCAGGGGACAGCUCUCUGGGUGACCUCCAUCGGCAAUGAGGUCGCCAAGAUACUGAACAGUGUCCUGACGGUGCAGGAGCGGCCGGGACUGGACGUGAUGGUCUCCGGAGUGUCUGUUGGAUGGGUACCCUAGAACUCGCAGGAAUACAGGACUGGUACCUCUGUAGUAUCCUUAAGAGAGGCAGCGGCCCCCGAGGGCCACCAGUAUGUACGAUUCCCGUCAACAUACUGUAGCCUUGUGUCCGGGUGGAGUUGGCCGAACUUCACGUUGAUCCACAUCUCCGGUGGAUGACGAAUCUCAAAAAACGUGCACGGGUUCUUAUUUUCUCCUCCUCCCCCUUUAAGGUGGUGGAGGAGUCUGAGUCGCUUGCUCCUUGACCCCGAGCCAAUGAGCGGUUCAAUUGUGUUUAGAUUAGAAUACA